rnacentral:rRNA from 1 species
CGGAAGCGAAGCCGCGAGGUGAAGACAAAUCUGAUAAAACCGGUCUCAGUUCGGAUUGCAGGCUGCAACUCGCCUGCAUAAAGUCGGAAUCGGCUAGUAAUCGCAGGUCAGCAUACUGCGGUGAAUACGUUCCCGGGCCUU